rnacentral:rRNA from 1 species
AAACCCCUUAUCGAGUAUCAAUUGGAGGGCAAGUCUGGUGCCAGCAGCCGCGGUAAUUCCAGCUCCAAUAGCGUAUAUUAAAGUUGUUGCAGUUAAAAAGCUCGUAGUUGGAUUUGUGGGCGUCGCGGGCGGCCUCGCACCUAGUGCGGGUGCCUGCCUGCGUCCCCAUCCUUCGUUGGAACCUGUGUGGCAUUAGGUUGUCGUGCAGGGGAUGGCGAUCGUUUACUGUGAAAAAAUUAGAGUGUUCAAAGCAGGCUUAUGCCGUUGAAUAUGUUAGCAUGGAAUAAUAAGAUAGGACCUUGGUACUAUUUUGUUGGUUUGCGCACCAAGGUAAUGAUUAAAAGGGACAGUUGCGGCAUUUCGUAUUCCAUUGUCAGAGGUGAAAUUCUUGGAUUUUUGGAAGACGAACUACUGCGAAAGCAUUAUGCAAGGAUGUUUUCAUUAAUCAAGAACGAAAGUUAGGGGAUCGAAGAUGAUUAGAUACCAUCGUAGUCUUAACCAUAAACUAUGCCGACAAGGGAUUGGCGGAGUUUCGUUUCGUCUCCGCCAGCACCUUAUGAGAAAUCACAAGUCUUUGGGUUCCGGGGGGAGUAUGGUCGCAAGGCUGAAACUUAAAGAAAUUGACGGAAGGGCACCACCAGGAGUGGAGCCUGCGGCUUAAUUUGACCCAACACGGGAAAACUUACCAGGUCCAGACAUAGUGAGGAUUGACAGAUUGAGAGCUCUUUCUUGAUUCUAUGGGUGGUGGUGCAUGGCCGUUCUUAGUUGGUGGAGUGAUUUGUUAAUUCCGUUAACGAACGAGACCCCUGCCUGCUAAAUAGCCUGCCGAGUGAAUUUUCACUGGGUUAUGCUUCUUAGAGGGACGUGCAUUCUAUUAGAUGCAGGAAGAUAGGGGCAAUAACAGGUCUGUGAUGCCCUUAGAUGUCCUGGGCCGCACGCGCGCUACACUGAUGCAAUCAACGAGUUUUUCCUUGGCCGAGAGGCCUGGGUAAUCUUUUGAACCUGCAUCGUGAUAGGGAUAGAUUAUUGCAAUUAUUAAUCUUGAACGAGGAAUUCCUAGUAAACGCAGAUCAUCAAUCUGCAUUGAUUACGUCCCUGCCCUUUGUACACACCGCCCGUCGCACCUACCGAUUGAAUGGUCCGGUGAAGCCUCGGGAUUGUGGUGGGUUCCCUUUAUUGGGAGUUCACCGCGAGAACUUGUCUAAACCUUAUCAUUUAGAGGAAGGUGAAGUC